rnacentral:misc_RNA from 1 species
GAUGAAGAACGUAGCGAAAUGCGAUAAGUAAUGUGAAUUGCAGAAUUCAGUGAAUCAUCGAAUCUUUGAACGCACAUUGCGCCCGCUGGUACUCCGGCGGGCACGCCUGUCCGAGCGUCAUUUCAACCCUCAAGCCCUCCUUCGGGAUGGGCCUGGUGUUGGGGCUCGGCCGCCAUCUCCGGCGGCCGUCCCCUAAAUACAGUGGCGGUCACGUCGCGACUCCUUUGCGUAGUAGAAACACCUCGCUCCGGAUAGCAACGCGGUCCACGCCGUAAAAUCCCCAAUUUUCAAUGGUUGACCUCGGAUCAGGUGGGAAUACCCGCUGAACUUAAGCAUAUCAUAAGCGGAGGA